rnacentral:tRNA from 1 species
UUAAUUGAAGCCAAAAUAGAGGUAACUUAUUGUUAAUAAGAAAAUUGAAUAUUUAUUCCAAUUAAA